rnacentral:tRNA from 1 species
GGCAUGGUGGCUCAGUGGUUAGAGCGCCGGCUCAUGAACGGGAGGUCGUGGGUUCGAACCUCGGCCGAGUCA